GAUGAAGAACGUAGCGAAAUGCGAUAAGUAAUGUGAAUUGCAGAAUUCAGUGAAUCAUCGAAUCUUUGAACGCACCUUGCACUCCUUGGUAUUCCGAGGAGUAUGCUUGUUUGAGAGUACUGUAAUCAUCAAUCCUCCUUUACUUUUGUGAAGUUGGCUUGGAUUUGGGGACUUGCUGGCCUUUCAUUAGAUCUGGCUUCCCUUGAAUGCAUUAGUUGAAUCGAGUUACAACGUUACGUGUAGUGUGAUAAUAUCUUCACUGCAUAGUUGUAAUGAAGUUUGGCUUCUAACAGUCCUUCAUUGGACAAUACUUUGAACAUUAUACCUCAAAUCAAGUAGGACUACCCGCUGAACUUAAGCAUAUCAAUAAGCGGAGGA
rnacentral:misc_RNA from 1 species